rnacentral:rRNA from 1 species
UAUAGAGGUCUCAAGCGUUGUUCGGAUUCAUUGGGCGUAAAGGGUGUGUAGGUGGCGCGCUAAGUCGGGUGUGAAAUUUCGGAGCUUAACUCCGAAACUGCAUUCGAUACUGGCGUGCUUGAGGACUGGAGAGGAGACUGGAAUUUACGGUGUAGCAGUGAAAUGCGUAGAUAUCGUAAGGAAGACCAGUGGCGAAGGCGGGUCUCUGGACAGUUCCUGACACUGAGACACGAAGGCCAGGGGAGCAAACGGG